AUUGAACGCUGGCGGCAGGCCUAACACAUGCAAGUCGAACGAGUGGCGGACGGGUGAGUAAUGUCUGGGACACUGCCCGAUGGAGGGGGAUAACUACUGGAAACAGUCGCUAAUACCGCAUACCAUCGGAUGUGCCGAGAUGGGAUUAGCUAGUAGGUGGGGUAACGGCGCACCUAGGCGACGCUCCCUAGAGGGUCUGAGAGGAUGACCAGCCAAACUGGAACUGAGACACGGUCCAGACUCCUACGGGAGGCAGCAGUGGGGAAUAUUGGACAAUGGGCGAAAGCCUGAUGCAGCCAUGCCGCGUGUGUGAAGAAGGCCUUCGGGUUGUAAAGUACUUUCAGCGAGGAGGCGUUACUCGCAGAAGAAGCACCAGCUAACUCCGUGCCAGCAGCCGCGGUAAUUC
rnacentral:rRNA from 1 species